rnacentral:ncRNA from 1 species
GGUUUAAUUGGACUCAGCACGGGGAAACUUACUCUGCCGAAUAUAGUAAGGACUGAUAGAUUUAGAGCUUUUUCUCGAUUCGGUGGGUGGUGGUGCAUGACCAUUUUUAGUUGGUGGAGAGAUUUGUGUGGUUACUUCCGAUGACGAACGAGACUUUAGCCUACUAAAUAGAUGCUCCGAGCCGCCCAGACGGUAUAGUGGUUAGGGAAGCUUGACUGCGAUACCGAACGGCCCGGGUUCGAAUUCCAGAGAAGGCAUGGAUGUAAAAUUAUCUGCCCCUUCAUAGGAGGCAACGGUGGCCUCCUAUUACAAUGAAAUGGCCACUCCUGGCUUAGAAGUGGCAAAUGCCGUUAUAGGCAAGUGCUCUUUCCAUUGGGGAAAAAUACAUGCUCUGAUUCUUCGAGUCGUACGUUCUUUUUAGAGGGACAAGCAGCAUUUUGCCGCACAAGAUAAAGGAAUAACAGGUCUGUGAUGCUCUUAAGCUGUGUUCCCAC